rnacentral:tRNA from 2 species
CGGGUGUAGUUCAAUGGUAGAAUACCAGCUUCCCAAGCUGAUUACGGGGGUUCGAUUCCCCUCACCC